UACCAUCUCCAUGGAAGAAGCCCCAAAUUCCUAGAAUGUUAGGAAUCAGCUAAUGGCUAUAACGAAGCUUUCUUAGCUGGGAUGGGAGUGGUGUUCUAUAGCACCCUAUUUGGUUCUAUCUAUCUUUAUUUCUAUUUUUCUAUCUAUGAAUCAUCUUUCUAUUUUUCAUCUAUUUGUCUGUUUUUAAUGACCUUAUCUUGAUUUUGUACUUUUCUCCUGGAAAUUAGGCAAGCAUAUAGUCACUCAUUCAAACUCACCAGAACCAGACCUGGCUGGGCCCUGGGGAUAAAAAGAAAAAAAAAUUGUCAUUUGAAGGUGACUUUUGAAUAGCCAGAGGCCUUAUCGCCUUGAAGGAAGAUAACUUUACACACCAACAGAAGAUCUGUAUUGCAUUUUUCAUAGAAAUUUUGGUUGGAGACCAUAUACUUAGUGUAGAACUUGCCCUUUUUAAACAAUAUUGUCCCUUUACCAAAUUCAGAUGACGAACAGUGCAAGGAUCUUAACACCAGCGAAGGGUAGGAUAAUCAUGUGCCUCCAUCUUGAAACUUUCUUGAGAGACUUUCAGUGAAAUUACCAAAAUCAGAAAAUAGGACUAAAUAUUUUAUAAGGGCUGUUAAGAUCAAUUAGAACGACACUCAAGAAGUUGGAAGAGAAGUUGUUAGUUAUUUGGGCCAGAGAUGAACUAGCUAUGACCCCAGGAAGUGCUAGAAAAGAGAUCCUUAAAAUAGCUUGGAACGAGCUCGUGAAAUGGCUUCCACUCUCAAUGCUGACAUGACUUCCACUCUUAACAUGGACGCCAAGGAUCGGAUGAUUCUUCCCUUUGGGUCUUGUACAUUGGGGGGUGUUAGCAGCAUCCCUGCCUCUGCCCACUGGAUGCCAGUGGCAGCCCUAUGGUUUGUGGUCAUUAAAACUAUACGCAGACAUUGGUAGACUCCUUAAGUUGGAGAUGAUGGGAGCAGAAUCAGCUCUAGUUGGAAUCACUGCUUAGUGACAUGGGGUUUAUGCAUGACUGAUGGCCAGUCUAGUCUUGUGGUGUGUUAGCCUCCUGUCGUUUGGAAGCUCUCAUUUCUGUUCAUCUUGUAUUUGCUGUGUAUCUGUGCUGAGUAACUGCCCCUCCCCCUCCCUCAGACUAAAGUUAACCACGUGAGCAAGACAGAUGAACAGAGCAAGCGGAGACCUGUUCUCAGUUGGUUCUUUUGUUAAUGAAGGAAACCGUUUGAAGGACUCUGCUCCAGGUGUGUGUUCUAGUGGGGCAGAAAAAAAGAAAACC
rnacentral:lncRNA from 1 species